AUUUGCCAUAGUUUUACUGAAUUAGUUACCGUCAGAAACACCCUCUGGUAAAUCCGCCAUAUUGUUUACCCCGUAAUGCAUCAUGGUCUAUGCUCACCAAAAAAUUAUUUCAAAAACUAAAUUUUUCAAUAAACAUUUUGUGCAAAUUGCAAACAUGAUUUUCAACAAAAAUUUUUAAGAAAAACAAACACAAAAAUAAAAAGUUGAAACAAUAAAAUAAAAAGUUGAAAUACUAAAUUAAAAAGUUGAAACACUAAAAUAAAUAAUAAAAAGUUGAAGGACUAAAAUAAAAAGUUGAAACACUCUGAAAAUAAAAGGUUGAAACACUAAAAUAAAAAGUUGAAAUACUAAAAUAAAAAGUUGAAGCACUAAAAUAAAAA